rfam:Enterococcus ratti strain DSM 15687 Scaffold7, whole genome shotgun sequence.
GUACCCUUAGCUCAGUUGGUUAGAGCUGACGGCUCAUAACCGUCCGGUCGUAGGUUCGAGUCCUACAGGGUACA